UGAAAGUGUAAAGUUUUAAUUAAAAAAUUAAUAGUUAUGAUCUUUAAAUUUAAAAAAUUUGGCGGUAUUUUAGUCUAUUCAGAGGAACCUGUUCUAUAAUUGAUAAUCCACGAUUAGAAAUACUUAAUUUAAAAGUUUGUAUAUCGUUGUUUAAAUAAUUUUAUAAGAAAAAUAAUUAUUAAGGUAUUUAAUUAAAUAAAUAAUCAAAUCAAGGUGCAGUUUAUAUUUAAGAAGAAAUGGGUUACAAUAAAAAUUAUUUAUAUGAAUUAUAUUAUUAAAUUAAUAUAUAAAGGAGGAUUUGAUAGUAAAUAUAUAUAUAUAUAUAUGUUGAUUUAAGCUCUAUAAUAUGU
rnacentral:rRNA from 1 species